rnacentral:rRNA from 1 species
UACGAAGGGGGCUAGCGUUGCUCGGAAUCACUGGGCGUAAGGCGCACGUAGGCGGAUUCCUAAGUCGGGGGUGAAAUCCUGGAGCUUAACUCCAGAACUGCCUUCGAUACUGGGAAUCUUGAGUCCGGAAGAGGUGAGUGGAACUGCGAGUGUAGAGGUGAAAUUCGUAGAUAUUCGCAAGAACACCAGUGGCGAAGGCGGCUCACUGGUCCGGUACUGACGCUGAGGUGCGAAAGCGUGGGGAGCAAACAGG